AUGCACGCUGGCGGCGUGCCUCAUACAUGCCAGUCGCGCGAACAGACGAGGAGCUUGCUCCUCUGACGUUAGCGGCGGACGGGUGAGUAACACGUGGAUAACCUACCUAUAAGACUGGGAUAACUUCGGGAAACCGGAGCUAAUACCGGAUAAUAUAUUGAACCGCAUGGUUCAAUAGUGAAAGACGGUUUUGCUGUCACUUAUAGAUGGAUCCGCGCCGCAUUAGCUAGUUGGUAAGGUAACGGCUUACCAAGGCAACGAUGCGUAGCCGACCUGAGGGGGUGAUCGGCCACACUGGAACUGAGACACGGUCCAGACUCCUACGGGAGGCAGCAGUAGGGAAUCUUCCGCAAUGGGCGAAAGCCUGACGGAGCAACGCCGCGUGAGUGAUGAAGGUCUUCGGAUCGUAAAACUCUGUUAUUAGGGAAGAACAAAUGUGUAAGUAACUAUGCACGUCUUGACGGUACCUAAUCAGAAAGCCACGGCUAACUACGUG
rnacentral:rRNA from 1 species